rnacentral:rRNA from 1 species
GACGAACGCUGGCGGCGUGCUUAACACAUGCAAGUCGAACGGAAAGGCCCUGCUUUUGUGGGGUGCUCGAGUGGCGAACGGGUGAGUAACACGUGAGUAACCUGCCCUUGACUUUGGGAUAACUUCAGGAAACUGGGGCUAAUACCGGAUAGGAGCUCCUGCUGCAUGGUGGGGGUUGGAAAGUUUCGGCGGUUGGGGAUGGACUCGCGGCUUAUCAGCUUGUUGGUGGGGUAGUGGCUUACCAAGGCUUUGACGGGUAGCCGGCCUGAGAGGGUGACCGGCAACAUUGGGACUGAGAUACGGCCCAGACUGCUACGGGAGGCAGCAGUGGGGAAUAUUGCACAAUGGGCGGAAGCCUGAUGCAGCAACGCAGCGUGCGGGAUGACGGCCUUCGGGUUGUAAACCGAUUUCGCCUGUGACGAAGCGUGAGUGACGGUAAUGGGUAAAGAAGCACCGGCUAACUACGUG